UACGUAGGGUGCGAGCGUUAAUCGGAAUUACUGGGCGUAAAGCGUGCGCAGGCGGUUUUGUAAGCCAGAUGUGAAAUCCCCGGGCUCAACCUGGGAACUGCAUUUGGGACUGCAAGGCUAGAGUACGGCAGAGGGGGGGUAGAAUUCCACGUGUAGCAGUGAAAUGCGUAGAGAUGUGGAGGAACACCGAUGGCGAAGGCAGCCCCCCUGGGUCAAGAUUGACGCUCAUGCACGAAAGCGUGGGGAUCAAACAGG
rnacentral:rRNA from 1 species